rnacentral:rRNA from 1 species
CCUACGGGUGGCAGCAGUGAGGAAUAUUGGUCAAUGGGCGCGAGCCUGAACCAGCCAAGUAGCGUGAAGGAUGACUGCCCUACGGGUUGUAAACUUCUUUUAUAAAGGAAUAAAGUGAGGCACGUGUGCCUUUUUGUAUGUACUUUAUGAAUAAGGAUCGGCUAACUCCGUGCCAGCCGCCGCGGUAAUACGGAGGAUCCGAGCGUUAUCCGGAUUUAUUGGGUUUAAAGGGAGCGUAGAUGGGUUGUUAAGGCAGGUGUGAAAGUUUGCGGCUCAACCGUAAAAUUGCAAUUGAUACUGGCAGCCUUGAGUGCAGUUGAGGUAGGCGGAAUUCGUGGUGUAGCGGUGAAAUGCUUAGAUAUCACGAAGAACUCCGAUUGCGAAGGCAGCCUACUAGACUGCCACUGACAUUGAUGCUCGAAAGUGUGGGUAUCAAACAGGAUUAGAUACCCCUGUAGUC